rnacentral:rRNA from 1 species
GCAAGUCUAGGGAAAGCCUUUCUUCGGACGGUUGUAUACUGGCGGACGGGUGAGUAACACGUAGAUAAUCUACCCCUAUCACGGGAAUAACGUUUGGAAACGAACGCUAAUGCCCGAUGAGGCGUUUACGUCAAAGUUUCGACGGAUAGGGAUGAGUCUGCGUCUGAUUAGCUAGUUGGAGAGGUAACGGCUCCCCAAGGCGACGAUCAGUAGCUGGUUUGAGAGGAUGAUC